GCAUAUCAAUAAGCGGAGGGAAAGAAACCAACAGGGAUUGCCCCAGUAACGGCGAGUGAAGCGGCAACAGCUCAAAUUUGAAAUCUGGCCCCAGGCCCGAGUUGUAAUUUGCAGAGGAUGCUUUUGGCGCGGUGCCUUCCGAGUUCCCUGGAACGGGACGCCAUAGAGGGUGAGAGCCCCGUACGGUUGGACACCAAGCCUUUGUAAAGCUCCUUCGACGAGUCGAGUAGUUUGGGAAUGCUGCUCUAAAUGGGAGGUACAUUUCUUCUAAAGCUAAAUAUUGGCCAGAGACCGAUAGCGCACAAGUAGAGUGAUCGAAAGAUGAAAAGCACUUUGAAAAGAGGGUUAAACAGCACGUGAAAUUGUUAAAAGGGAAGCGCUUGUGACCAGACUUGCGUCCGGUGAAUCACCCAGCUCUCGCGGCUGGGGCACUUCGCCGGCACAGGCCAGCAUCAGCUUGCCGUCGGGGACAAAAGCUUCAGGAACGUGGCUCCUCUCGGGGAGUGUUAUAGCCUGUUGCAUAAUACCCUUCGGCGGGCUGAGGUACGCGCUCCGCAAGGAUGCUGGCGUAAUGGUCAUCAGCGACCCGUCUUGAAACACGGACCAAGGAGUCAACCUUAUGUGCGAGUGUUUGGGUGUCAAACCCCUACGCGUAAUGAAAGUGAACGCAGGUGAGAGCUUCGGCGCAUCAUCGACCGAUCCUGAUGUUCUCGGAUGGAUUUGAGUAAGAGCAUAUAGGGUUGGACCCGAAAGAAGGUGAACUAUGCGUGUGUAGGGUGAAGCCAGAGGAAACUCUGGUGGAGGCUCGCAGCGGUUCUGACGUGCAAAUCGAUCGUCAAACAUGCGCAUGGGGGCGAAAGACUAAUCGAACCUUCUAGUAGCUGGUUUCCGCCGAAGUU
rnacentral:rRNA from 1 species